GGGUGCCGCGGAGAUCGCCGCGGCAGGUUUUCGCGCAGGUCGGGCCGCCGCG
rnacentral:ncRNA from 21 species